GAGAACAGCAGGGCCAGCAGCGCCAUCUCCUGGCCAAGAUGGGAACAGCUGGUGAUACCUAGAGCUCCCAGCAUCUUCUCUGUCACCUUCCCAAUGCCUGAGAUCUGGCACACCAAAAGACCAUCAUCUGUAUUUCUCGUUCUCAUAGAACCUGGAGCCCUGCAGAAGAGAGGGGAACAGAGAGGUGGGUGACCUCCAGUAACAGGCCAUGGAGCAUGGAGAAGAGAACCCACUGGACCUCAACACACGCCCUCCAUUCCAGCCUUGUUGUCAUUGAGGGCCAUUCUUGAGAGGAAGCCCUCCCCACUGGAAGAGGAGGUCCCCCCUGUCGCCAUACUUCCUUCAAGUGA